rnacentral:rRNA from 1 species
UACGUAGGGGGCUAGCGUUGUCCGGAAUCAUUGGGCGUAAAGAGCGUGUAGGCGGUCCGGUAAGUCCGCUGUGAAAGUCGGGGGCUCAACCCUCGAAUGCCGGUGGAUACUGUCGGGCUAGAGUGCGGAAGAGGCGAGUGGAAUUCCUGGUGUAGCGGUGGAAUGCGCAGAUAUCAGGAAGAACACCAACGGCGAAGGCAGCUCGCCGGGACGGGACUGACGCUGAGACGCGAAAGCGUGGGGAGCGAACAGG